rnacentral:misc_RNA from 1 species
UCUAAGGAGACAUCGGAGUGUGAGAUAUCACUUCGUAACGUCCUAGGUCAGACUUUUGGAGCAGAAGGUGAGUAAGUCACGUUGUUUAAUUUAGAGGGUAUACGUCCAGGGGGGGCAAACGGGGGUAUAGCUCAGCUGGUAGAGCACCUGCUUUGCAAGCAGGGGGUCAUCGGUUCGAGUCCGUUUACCUCCACCAAUGGGCCAAUAGCUCAGCUGGCUAGAGCACACGACUGAUAAUCGUGAGGUCGGUGGUUCGAGUCCACUUUGGCCCACCAGUGAGAACAGAUACAAGUUCUCAAGGAAUUGAGGACUUGUAUCUGGUUUCAACUAGAGACCAGAGGCUGCACCUUGAAAACUGAACAACGAAGAAAACAUUCCAGAAAUGUGAGAGCAAGCAACAGAAGAACGAAGCACGUUGUGGAAACUUUAAAAGGGUAAAAGCAACAAACGCUGAAGAAUCUUCCGUGAUUGUGUCUGCAUAAUUCUCAAGAACAGAGUGAACCAGAAGGGCGGCGUAGUGCCGCCCACGAGGUCAAGCUGGAAAGAGCGCAAGGGGAAUGCCUUGGCAUCAGGAGCCGAAGAAGGACGUGACAAGCUGCGAUAAGCUACGGGGAGCGGCACAUACGCAUCGAUCCGUAGAUUUC